AAACAGAAAACAAAAAAAUA
rnacentral:miRNA from 1 species